GGAGCGGUAUCGUAAGGCCUGGUGACUCUGACCGUUCGGAGAACGGGAUAGGUCACGCUGAGAGGCGUGAACGGGGAAGGGCGGCUGAGAUGCGCGCCCGGCAGACUGAAAUCGGAGCCCAGGGUGAGCCGCUUU
rnacentral:sRNA from 12 species